rnacentral:rRNA from 1 species
UACGGAGGAUCCGAGCGUUAUCCGGAUUUAUUGGGUUUAAAGGGUGCGUAGGCGGAUUGAUAAGUUAGAGGUGAAAUGUCCGAGCUCAACUCGGGAACUGCCUCUAAUACUGAUGAUCUAGAGAGUAGAUGCGGUAGGCGGAAUGUAUGGUGUAGCGGUGAAAUGCAUAGAUAUCGCGCAGAACCCCGAUUGCGAAGGCAGCCUGCCGGCCCCACACUGACGCUGAGGCACGAAAGCGUGGGUAUCGAACAGG